UCUCGUUUCGGGAGGUUUCUCGUUCCCAGGUUCAACCUGGGAACGAGAUUCGGGAGGUUUCUCGUUCCCAGGUUCAACCUGGGAACGAGAU
rnacentral:tRNA from 1 species